rnacentral:rRNA from 1 species
AUUGAACGCUGGCGGCAUGCUUUACACAUGCAAGUCGGACGGCAGCACAGAGAGGCUUGCUUCUUGGGUGGCGCGGGGCGCACGUGUGAGUAAUAUAUCGGAACGUACCGAGUGAUGGGGGAUACCUAAUCGAAAGAUUAGCUAUUACCGCAAAUUCUCUGAAGCGGAAAGCAGGGGACUUUCAGGCCUUGCGGUUUUCGAGCGGACGGUAUCUGAUUAGCUAGUUGGUGGGGUAAAGGCCUACCAAGGCGACGAUCAGUAGCGGGUCUGAGAGGAUGAUCGGCCACACUGGGACUGAGACACGGCCCAGACUCCUACGGGAGGCAGCAGUGGGGAAUUUUGGACAAUGGGCGAAAGCCUGAUCCAGCCAUGCCGCGUGUGUGAAGAAGGCCUUCGGGUUGUAAAGCACUGUUGUCAGGGAAGAAAAGGUUGUUGCUAAUACCGACAGCUGAUGACGGUACCUGAAGAAUAAGCACCGGCUAACUACGUG